GAUGAACGCUGGCGGCGUGCCUAAUACAUGCAAGUCGAGCGAACAGACGAGGAGCUUGCUCCUCUGACGUUAGCGGCGGACGGGUGAGUAACACGUGGAUAACCUACCUAUAAGACUGGGAUAACUUCAGGAAACCGGAGCUAAUACCGGAUAAUAUAUUGAACCGCAUGGUUCAAUAGUGAAAGACGGUUUUGCUGUCACUUAUAGAUGGAUCCGCGCCGCAUUAGCUAGUUGGUAAGGUAACGGCUUACCAAGGCGACGAUGCGUAGCCGACCUGAGAGGGUGAUCGGCCACACUGGAACUGAGACACGGUCCAGACUCCUACGGGAGGCAGCAGUAGGGAAUCUUCCGCAAUGGGCGAAAGCCUGACGGAGCAACGCCGCGUGAGUGAUGAAGGUCUUCGGAUCGUAAAACUCUGUUAUUAGGAAGAACAAAUGUGUAAGUAACUAUGCACGUCUUGACGGUACCUAAUCAGAAAGCCACGGCUAACUACGUG
rnacentral:rRNA from 1 species